rnacentral:rRNA from 1 species
GACGAACGCUGGCGGCGUGCUUAACACAUGCAAGUCGAACGGAAAGGCCCUGCUUUUGUGGGGUGCUCGAGUGGCGAACGGGUGAGUAACACGUGAGUAACCUGCCCUUGACUUUGGGAUAACUUCAGGAAACUGGGGCUAAUACCGGAUAGGAGCUCCUGCUGCAUGGUGGGGGUUGGAAAGUUUCGGCGGUUGGGGUUGGACUCGCGGCUUAUCAGCUUGUUGGUGGGGUAGUGGCUUACCAAGGCUUUGACGGGUAGCCGGCCUGAGAGGGUGACCGGCCACAUUGGGACUGAGAUACGGCCCAGACUCCUACGGGAGGCAGCAGUGGGGAAUAUUGCACAAUGGGCGGAGGCCUGAUGCAGCAACGCCGCGUGCGGGAUGACGGCCUUCGGGUUGUAAACCGCUUUCGCGUGUGACGAAGCGUGAGUGACGGUAAUGGGUAAAGAAGCACCGGCUAACUACGU